rnacentral:rRNA from 1 species
GACGAACGCUGGCGGCGUGCUUAACACAUGCAAGUCGAACGGAAAGGCCCUGCUUUUGUGGGGUGCUCGAGUGGCGAACGGGUGAGUAACACGUGAGUAACCUGCCCUUGACUUUGGGAUAACUUCAGGAAACUGGGGCUAAUACCGGAUAGGAGCUCCUGCUGCAUGGGGGGGGUUGGAAAGUUUCGGCGGUUGGGGAUGGACUCGCGGCUUAUCAGCUUGUUGGUGGGGUAGUGGCUUACCAAGGGUUUGACGGGUAGCCGGCCUGAGAGGGUGACCGGCCACAUGGGGACUGCGGUACGGCCCAGACUCCUACGGGAGGCAGCAGUGGGGAAUAUUGCACAAUGGGCGGAAGCCUGAUGCAGCAACGCCGCGUGCGGGAUGACGGCCUUCGGGUUGUAAACCGCUUUCGCCUGUGACGAAGCGUGAGUGACGGUAAUGGGUAAAGAAGCACCGGCUAACUACGUG